AAGCUAGCUUGACUGCGAGCGUGACGGCGCGAGCAGGUGCGAAAGCAGGUCAUAGUGAUCCGGUGGUUCUGAAUGGAAGGGCCAUCGCUCAACGGAUAAAAGGUACUCCGGGGAUAACAGGCUGAUACCGCCCAAGAGUUCAUAUCGACGGCGGUGUUUGGCACCUCGAUGUCGGCUCAUCACAUCCUGGGGCUGAAGUAGGUCCCAAGGGUAUGGCUGUUCGCCAUUUAAAGUGGUACGCGAGCUGGGUUUAGAACGUCGUGAGACAGUUCGGUCCCUAUCUGCCGUGGGCG
rnacentral:rRNA from 1 species